UAGUGGAGCUUGCUGGCCCUGUAACACAAAGGUGUUCUGCUUGUGCAUGGAAAUGUGUCAAGUGUCUACACAGUGUCUGAUGUUUUCUUUCGACGACCUGAAGAAAUAAUUUGCAAUUAACAUCUUCUUAUGGCUGCUACUGUCCUUUGUGCCUGUGCCUGUGCCUCCCACUCACUGUGAUGCUCACAGGUGCUCCUGUUCCACCAGGAGAUCAAUGAGAAACCACCUUGUUCCUGACCUGGUGUAAGCUCCUGCUUCAGCCUAGCUGGGUACCUGGCCAAGGGUGGACCUCUUUAAGCUGUUCUCCAAGCCACACAGCCACUUCACUAAGAGCUCCUUUUAAGGUCUUCGAAGUGAUCAGACCUGACAGACCAUGGAUUUCAAGGGAGUGCUGCCUCAAAGGUCAUACCCUUGCAGUGAACUGGGAGCGCAAUGCAACCUCGGAACCGGCAAUCACAAAACUCUGUACCCUGCCUUUUAAAAUCAUGUCAACAAUGUAAACAUCAAAUGCUCCCAAGGUUAUUAUGAAGUGAAUCUGAUGUGGGGAUUUUGAAGCACUGGUAAAGUUUUGGCUUUAAGUACAAAAAUCGAUUUAGUUCCACAUCAUUUUCUUUUAGAGCUCCUGGCAAAUAUUCUCAUUGAAGAAGUGUUCAUUUGCAAGGUUGAGGAUGAAAGGCCGUAAUGAAUUUCUGGUUGCAGGUGACAAUCCAAUCUUUGAAAGGUUCACACCACUUGAAUGACUGGGGUUUUGAAAAAAAACAGAUUUGAAAAUAGGAGGCUCAAGACAGGGCAGUUUUGAAGAGCAGCCAUGUAGGUAGUUGAAGGAACUUCAGGGAACAGACUCAAUUUAGGCUAAAUUUUAGCUGAGUAAGGCGUGACUAAUACGAUUUUUAACAAAGCAUUUUUAGAGUCUGUUGAAAACAUCUAUUUCCCUUGAAGGAAAUCAAACUCUUGCAAGUUUUUUUUUACUAAUUCUAAAGUAAAGCUCACUGUAUUACACUUAGCUUGUGUGAUGGGAAACCGUGUGCAAUUCAUUUUGGAAACCCUGCUAGGAUUUAAUAAUCAGUGAAUUGAACUACUCAGGUCAUUAAGCAUUCAGCUAUUCUGCCAUCUCAGUGUAAAACUGGGUGCCUGCUUUUUGUGUCAGCUCGGGUGAGUGUGUUGGAGAGCAGAAUACAGGAUUAAUUGGCAAACUAGCAUAGACUGAAUUACACUAGUGGAAGCUGUAAGUGAUUCGGAUAGGAAGGCUGGAAGCAUUUACUUGGGGAUGCAGCAGUGUGGAGAGUGGACAUGGUUUAUAAAUGCAUGGGGGCAGGAGGAUGUUCUGGAAUGUGGUAGUUCUUGGCUGCAGAACAGGUAGAAUUCAUGCUGUGGUGUUACAAAAAAUUAUUAAAACUGUGUAACAAUAUAUGUGUGAUGUGUGUGUGUUGUGUUUUUUUUUUUUUGUUUGUUUGUUUGUUUGUUUUUCUCCUUCCCCUCAGUGGUUUUGUUUUGGGGUGGGACUUUCACUGAUUGCGAGUGUGUCUUAGCAGACUACUGAUUAAGGGUGUAGUUGUAUUAAUUUACUGUGGGACAGACUGUUAAGUAGAGUCUGUAGCAAUAGGACAAGAGUAAUGGUUUUAAACUAGAAGAGGGUAGGUUCAGACUAGAUAUGAGGAAGAAUUUCUUUAUGAUAAGGGUGCAGAAGUAUUGGC